AGCCUGGUAGCUCGUCGGGCUCAUAACCCGAAGGUCGUCGGUUCAAAUCCGGCCCCCGCAACCA
rnacentral:tRNA from 4 species